AUCAUUGCGCUUGGGGCAAUGACGCAGCCUGUGAGGUUUUAACCGAAGCGCGUCAAUUGCUGGUUGAAAACUACUUCCCUUUUUAUUCAUCUCUUUGGCUUGGGUUCCGGUCGGCCAUUGAAAAUUUUUGAAAGGGCUCCCUUCUUGGAUAAAGCC